CGAUGAAGAACGCAGCGAAAUGCGAUACCUAGUGUGAAUUGCAGAAUUCCGCGAAUCAUCGAGUCUUUGAACGCAAGUUGCGCCCGAGGCUUGUCCCGAGGGCAUGCCUGCCUGAGCGUCACCGCACUCCCACCCGACGAACCUUCGUCGUGAGUGGAACUGGCCGUCCGAGAUCGGGCGUCGAUGCCUAGCGUCGCGGUCGGCUGAAAUGGAGCGUUCCGGACGUAACCGGGGAGGGGGAUAGCGAGAAGGUGAUCCGUUCUACGAGCGGAGUCAAAUUUUGACAGCGUCCCUCGCCUCGGAUUGUCCCACGGAACUCGGAGCGGGAGCCGGCCCGGUCGAUCGCUUUCGCGGUCGAUCGGGCCGGUUUCAUCACGGCUCGGACCUCAGAUCAGGCAAGAUUACCCGCUGAGUUUAAGCAUAUCACUAAGCGGAGGAAAAGAAACUAACAAGGAUUUCCCUAGUAACGGCGAGCGAACCGGAAAGAGCCCAGCUUGUAAAUCGCGGGGUUUGGCCGUGCGAAUUGUAGUCUGGAGA
rnacentral:rRNA from 1 species